GAAAUGCGAUAAGUAAUGCGAAUUGCAGAAUUCAGUGAAUCAUCGAAUCUUUGAACGCACAUUGCGCCCGCCAGUAUUCUGGCGGGCAUGCCUGCCCGAGCGUCAUUACAACCCUCGUCCCCCCCUUCCGGGAGGGGCGGUGUUGGGGACCGGCACCUCACGGUCGCCGCCCCCUAAAUGCAUCGGCGGUCCCGCCGGCGCCUCCCCCGCGUAGUAGCAACACCUCGCGGGACGAGCGCCCGGCGGCGACACAGCCGCUAAACACCCCAAUUCGGGCCGAGAGGCCUCAGAGUUUGACCUCGGAUCAGGUAGGAAUACCCGCUGAACUUAA
rnacentral:misc_RNA from 1 species